GAGUUUGAUCAUGGCCAGGACGACCCCUGGCGGCGUGCCUAACACAUGCAAGUCGAACGAGGUCCCAGGAGUGCUUGCACUCCUGAAGACCUAGUGGCGAACGGGUGAGUAACACGUGAGAAACCUGCCCCAGACUCUGGGAUAACCCAAGGAAACUUGAGCUAAUACCGGAUACCCUCCUGCGGUCGCAUGGCUGCUUGAGGAAAGUUUUUCGGUCUGGGAGGGUCUCGCGGCCUAUCAGCUAGUUGGUGGGGUAACGGCCCACCAAGGCUACGACGGGUAGCUGGUUUGAGAGAACGAUCAGCCACACUGGAACUGAGACACGGUCCAGACUCCUACGGGAGGCAGCAGUGGGGAAUCUUGUGCAAUGGGCGAAAGCCUGACGCAGCAACGCCGCGUGCGGGAUGAAUGCCUUCGGGUUGUAAACCGCUUUCAGCAGGGACGAAAAUGACGGUACCUGCAGAAGAAGCCCCGGCUAACUACGUGCCAGCAGCGCGGUAA
rnacentral:rRNA from 1 species